rnacentral:lncRNA from 1 species
CUAAGGAAGGAAGCACAUGGACCCACCAGAGCAGCCUUCAGAGGGUGCCUGGGCUUAAACCAGCUGAUCUGGGCUUCAUGGAAUUACAGGUGGCUGCCUAAAAGAGUACUUGCUGCCCACCUGCCUGUCUGUCUGCCUGUCUGUCUGUCUGCCAGUCUGCCUAACUUCCUGUCUGCCUGUCUGUCUGUCUAUCUGCCUGCCUGCCUGUCUGCCUGCCUGUCUAUCUGUCUGUGUGUGUCUGUCUGUCUGUCUGCCUGUCUGCCUGCCUGUCUGUGUGUCUGCCUGCCUGUCUGUCUGCCUGUCUGCCUGUCUGCCUGUCUGCCUGCCUGCCUGUCUGUCUACCUGCCUUCCUGUCUGUCUGUCUGCCCGCCUGCCUGCCUGCCUGUCUGUCUGUCUGUCUGCCCGCCUGCCUGCCUGCCUGUCUGUCUGUCUGUCUAUCUGCCUGCCUGCCUAUCUGUCUGCCUGCCUGCCUGCCCGCCUGCCUGCCUGCCUGUCUGUCUGUCUGUCUAUCUGCCUGCCUGCCUAUCUGUCUGCCUGCCUGCCUGCCUGUCUGUCUGCCUGCCUGCCUUCCUGUCUGUCUGUCUGCCCGCCUGCCUGUCUGUCUGUCUGCCCGCCUGCCUGUCUGUCUGUCUGCCUGACUGUUUGUCUGCCUGUCUGUCUAUCUGUCAAUGUGUCUGUCUGUCUGGCUAUCUGUCUAUCUAUCUGUCUGUGUGUGUCUGUGUGUCUGUCUGUCUGUCUGUCUAUCUGUCUGUGUGUCUGUCUGUCUGUGUGUCUGCCUGUCUGUCUGUCUGUCUGUCUGUGUGUUUGCCUGUCUGCCUGUCUGUGUGUUUGCCUGCCUGUCUGCCUGCCUGCCUGUCUGCCUGCCUGCCUGUCUGCCUGCCUGCCUGUCUGUCUGCCUGCCUGCCUUCCUGUCUGUCUGUCUGCCCACCUGCCUGUCUGCCUGUCUGUCUAUCUGUCUGCCUGCCUGCCUUCCUGUCUGUCUGCCUGCCUGCCUAUCUGUCUGCCUGUCUGUCUGCCUGUCUGUCUGUCUGCCCGCCUGCCUGUCUGUCUGUCUGCCUGUCUGUCUACGUACCAAUUUCUCUCUCUUUACCUCUCCAAUUGUCCUCUCCACUUAUCACUCUAUCUCUGUGUAUUAUCUUU